rnacentral:sRNA from 1 species
UUGACAGCCUGGAGACCGAAGCCCCCUGUGUAUCCAUAGAACAGGUAUUGCCUGGGCAGUGGCAGGGCACAUUCCACCUCGCCAUACCCUGUCAAUGGGCCUCAGUCCUGCCUCAUCACUAGAGAUGAGAGGGGAGUUCGGUGUCCAAGGCCCAUUUACUCCUUGGCUUCA